GGUCCUGGGGUGGUCUGAAUGUGAUCUGGGGGGUCCUGGGAGUCUUUGGGGGGCUGGGGGGGGCUGAAUGGGGUUUGGGGGGGUUUGGGGGGGUCCUGGGGGGGGUUGGGGGGUCCUGGGGUGGUCUGAAUGGGGGUCCCUCUAAUUUGGGGGGGGUCUCUUAUAUGGGGGGGUCUCUUAUAUGGGGGGUCCCUCCAAUUUGGGGGUCUCUUCAAUUUGGGGGGGUCCCUCUUCUAUGGGGGGGUCCCUAAUUUGAGGGGGGUCUCUGACCUCCCCCCCCCCCCAUUGAAUGUGCAGACAUUUACGUGUUCGGGGUGGGGUCCCUUCAAUUUGGGGGGGGUCCCUUCAAUUUGGGGGGUCUCUUCAAUUUGGGGGGGGUCCCUCUUCUAUGGGGGGGUCCCUAAUUUGAGGGGGGGUCUCUGA
rnacentral:lncRNA from 7 species